rnacentral:rRNA from 1 species
UACCACUACCGGCAGGAACCACUAGAGCUGCCCCUCCGUUCCUACUUUCUAGGGAUACUAUCCCUCGUCGCUAAACCACGAGCUCGAGUCGACGAGGGCUUUAGCGACCGCAGGAAAGAACGGAGCCCUAAGGUUCUUAAGCAGGACUGUGCGGACCUGUCUCCGCGUCUUUUUUAUCGAAUGCCGCGGAUAUGUCAAGAACAACCUACGGCAGCAGGCCACUCAAGGAGGAAGGAGAGCGACCUCUAGAUGGCCAGAAGCUCUAAACAAGAGGUCGACUGCGUACUCCUUCUUCGACUGGAGUACCGACCGGCAGCGGGUACCGGCACACAAGGUCCGAGGGUGAGGCCUUCGUCAAGCGCCUGUCGGAACUUGUAGGCCUAGGCGAAGGAGACCGGAACAAUGGCGGCCCGCCUCCUUUGGAACGGCACGGCCGCUUGAGUUUACAACCCAGACCUACGUCGAACGUGUCCCAAUGUAGAAACGUCAAGUGGUGGACUGUCCUGCGGUACGGGGAGAUCUUACUCACGUAAUCUCGUCAGCUAAGCGUCUAUACGUCUACUCGGAUGAUUUUCAUACCGUUCUUGUCUACCCUGCGGCUGUCCUGGUUUAGUUACGUUCUCGCAAACGCCGACGAGCCCCUUCGGUCUCGUCUAAUACAACGCUCAUGGGACGCAACUACUCCGAGGACACACACAGGCUUACGUGAUGACCAAGAAGUCCCUACACUCGUCUUGUCUCGAUUCCUACGUUCUCUAUAUGAAGGGCCCGUGGCGCAAGUCAUGGUCAUCCUGCCGAUACCUACAGUACGCCUACUCUCUACUCCUACGUCUUCGUAAGCUCGUGUACAGUCGACCCGAUUUGCGGCACAAACAACGUAAACACCCCUUACCGUCACGUCCAGUACUUCUGUCACUACCGCCGAACCGUUCACACUUACGUGAUGUUCCCGAACGACGAGGUCUCUUCGUCUCUCCACAACCAUCCGGCUGAUCCUCGUCCCUUUUUCGUGGCAUGCUCCCUGACUCAUUUGCUUACUCCAAGAUGUUGUAGAAAGCUUCCGGUGUUCGCUGCCGGACGGGACUGGCUCCCCUACGGGCGUUCGUUGGCGCAUUCGGAUCCUUUACGUUCUUCACACCUUACCUUCCCGUGGUAGUCUUGUGCACGCGUGCUGGUGAGCCUCCACGAAUC